rnacentral:lncRNA from 1 species
CAAUAAAUUGCUCACUCAAUUUUAAAGAAUUACUACCAUACUAAUCGUACAACUCUUUAUCUAAGGACCAAAAAUCUAAUAGCAUCAAAUACUUAAUGCUAUUAAUAGUAUUUUAGUUUAGUUAUACAUAUAGGCCAAUUUGUAUAAAAUUCAUUAGUUUUGUCUCUUGAAUUUUACAGAUUUAGAUUGAAUUUUUAGAAAACAAACUAAAAUACCUUUAUUCUUUUUUCUCUCUCCUCUUUUUUUCGCUUGUUCUUUUUUUUUUUU